AUACGAGGGGUGCAAGCGUUAAUCGGAAUUACUGGGCGUAAAGCGCGCGUAGGCGGAUAUUUAAGUCUCAUGUGAAAGCCCUGGGCUCAACCUGGGAACUGCAUGGGAUACUGGGUAUCUAGAAUACAGUAGAGGGUAGUGGAAUUUCAGGUGUAGCGGUGAAAUGCGUAGAGAUCUGAAGGAACAUCAGUGGCGAAGGCGACUACCUGGACUGAUAUUGACGCUGAGGUGCGAAAGCGUGGGGAGCAAACGGGAUUAGAUACCCCAGUAGUCC
rnacentral:rRNA from 1 species